AGAGUUUGAUCCUGGCUCAGGAUGAACGCUAGCGGCAGGCUUAACACAUGCAAGUCGAGGGGUAACAUAGGAAGCUUGCUUUCUGAUGACGACCGGCGCACGGGUGCGUAACGCGUAUACAAUCUACCUUAUACUGGGGUAUAGCCUUUAGAAAUGAAGAUUAACCCCCCAUAGUCUCUUAGAGUGGCAUCACUUCUAGAGUAAAGGUUACGGUAUAAGAUGAGUAUGCGUUCUAUUAGUUUGUUGGUGUGGUAACGGCACACCAAGACUACGAUAGAUAGGGGCCCUGAGAGGGGGAUCCCCCACACUGGUACUGAGACACGGACCAGACUCCUACGGGAGGCAGCAGUGAGGAAUAUUGGACAAUGGAGGCAACUCUGAUCCAGCCAUGCCGCGUGUAGGAUGACUGCCCUAUGGGUUGUAAACUACUUUUAUACAGGAAGAAACACCUCUACGAGUAGAGGCUUGACGGUACUGUAAGAAUAAGGAUCGGCUAACUCCGUGCCAGCAGCCGCGGUAAUA
rnacentral:rRNA from 1 species